rnacentral:rRNA from 1 species
GACGGAGGAUGCAAGCGUUAUCCGGAAUGAUUGGGCGUAAAGCGUCCGCAGGUGGCAGUUUCAAGUCUGCUGUCAAAGACCGGGGCUUUAACUUCGGAAAGGCAGUGGAAACUGAACAGCUAGAGUAUGGUAGGGGCAGAGGGAAUUCCUGGUGUAGCGGUGAAAUGCGUAGAGAUCAGGAAGAACAUCGGUGGCGAAGGCGCUCU